rnacentral:tRNA from 1 species
GCCUGAUUGGCUCUGUUGGUAGAGCAUGCAAUUCUUGAUUUUAGGGUUUUGGAUUCAAACCCCACAUUAGGUG